AUGUAAAUCAAGCCGAAUCCUGACUUCAGGUACGGGGGACUAUAUUUGUUUUGGGGUGAAGCCGCUGUGCGGCCGGGAACUCCUUAUCCUGAACCCGUCAACUAACCUCGGAGGCUAUAAGGAGGAAUAUU
rnacentral:sRNA from 1 species